AAAAAUGUCCACAGGAAAGAAAUUGUAUGUGCAGAAAAGAAGGCAUUUUGCAAAUCCAGACCUCUCACUUGAUCUUGUGCUGCUGCAAGGACUGUUUUGUCACCAUAACCUGGAAGCAGAGAGAGGCAAUGGGCAAGAGAAGAUGAACAGACAGGGAUGCCAUAAGCCAUCAUUAGCACAUGCAUGGCCUAAGCUAUCGGUACAUGCUGAUGACAUCCAUGUGGUACUCUGCAGAAUGAGGUGAACUGUAAACAACAUUUCAGAAUAGCUGAGGCAUGUGAUUUUGCAGAGGAGGCAAGAAGAAAGCCCAGUAGAUGGGCCAUAUAUCUUGAGACAUGGUUGAAG
rnacentral:lncRNA from 1 species